GUUAGGAAUAUUGGACAAUGGGCGAAAGCCUGAUCCAGCCAUGCCGCGUGAACGAUGAAGGCCUUCGGGUUGUAAAGUUCUUUAGCCGAUGAUUAUAAUGACUGUAGUCGGAAAAUAAGCCCCGGCUAACUUCGUGCCAGCAGCCGCGGUAAUACGAAGGGGGCGAGCGUUAUUCGGAAUCACUGGGCGUAAAGCGUGCGUAGGCGGUUUUGUAAGUUAGGAGUGAAAGCCCAGGGCUCAACCUUGGAAUUGCUCUUAAAACUGCAAGGCUCGAAUCUCGGAGAGGAUAGCGGAAUUUCCAGUGUAGCAGUGAGAUGCGUAGAUAUUGGAAGGAACACCAGUGGCGUAAGCGGCUAUCUGGACGAGUAUUGACGCUGAGGCACGAAAGCGUGGGGAUCAAACAGGAUUAGAUACCCUGGUAGUCC
rnacentral:rRNA from 1 species